CACCGUCAGGCCCUCGCCAACGUUCGCCCAAAGUUGGGGAGCGUCUCCAAAUAGGGAUGGAGAAACUGAGGCCUGCGGAGGCAAACGGACUUGCAGAGGGACGUGGCGCUGGGAAUGAGGAGGCUGCAAUAGGAACUCGGGCUGCAGCUCCACUGACCUCAGGAGUUCCUUGACUGUCUGCCUCCGGUCCACAGCCCCUGCCGGGGCGCCUGCCUCCCAUGCUGUAGGCUGCACACGACGCCUUUUCUCGGGACCCCAGGCCGGGCAGGGCCCCUGCGUGUGCUGGCCGUGCGCUCCCGCUCCGUCCUCCCCAGCGCUUUCCAGGAUGAACUGGUUAUUCGGGUGGAGGGCUGCCCUCCUGGUGAGGAGUCCGUGGCUGCGGGGACUCUCACUCACUGGUUGCUAGUGCCCAGCCAGGGCGGGUUCUCGUCAUUGCUCGUGGAAGGAAGGAGUGGGCCCGUGAACGGCUGGAUGGAUACGUGAUGAGACACCUUGCCCUCAGCCUGAGCAUGUGCAUCGAAGAGCAGAGUUUACAGACCGGAAAGGCUCUGAUGGAAUCUCAACUCUGUCAUCCGCUUGCUGAGUGACCAGGAGCAAGACUCUUCUCCUUGAGUCUCAGUUUUCUCAUCUGUAAAAUGAAGCUGUCAAGUAUCAGAACAGCAAGUAUCAGAACAGCAAGUUCAAGGGAAGGCAGAGGAGCACCUGGGGUGUGGGCUGGGGCCUCCUGAGGAGGUAAAGUCUGAGCUGAGACCCGAAGGGUCAAUAAAAAGCCCCCAGGAGUGCUGGGGAAAGGGGUUUCCAAGUAUCAGAACAGCAAGUGCAGGGGCCUGGAGGAGGAGCCGAGGGGAGCACCUUCGUAGAGAGUAGCAAGGAGUCAUUCAGAUAACGGGGGAGGAAGCAAAGCUACUGAGCACCGAGCCUGUAGUGAUUGCUCAGUAAGUAAGUGCCAGCUGUAAUAAUAGUCAUCGUUACUGUUCUCCUUGAAACAGCAAGGGAGCUUUGCUCUGCACGUUUAUGUCAAAAUCCCCUGGAUUGGCCACUCUUCUUGACUAUUGGACAGGUCAGGAAUGGCUGAUAAAAGCAUU